GAUGAACGCUGGCGGCGUGCCUAAUACAUGCAAGUCGAGCGAACGGACGAGAAGCUUGCUUCUCUGAUGUUAGCGGCGGACGGGUGAGUAACACGUGGAUAACCUACCUAUAAGACUGGGAUAACUUCGGGAAACCGGAGCUAAUACCGGAUAAUAUUUUGAACCGCAUGGUUCAAAAGUGAAAGACGGUCUUGCUGUCACUUAUAGAUGGAUCCGCGCUGCAUUAGCUAGUUGGUAAGGUAACGGCUUACCAAGGCGACGAUGCAUAGCCGACCUGAGAGGGUGAUCGGCCACACUGGAACGGAGACACGGUCCAGACUCCUACGGGAGGCAGCAGUAGGGAAUCUUCCGCAAUGGGCGAAGGCCUGACGGAGCAACGCCGCGUGAGUGAUGAAGGUCUUCGGAUCGUAAAACUCUGUUAUUAGGGAAGAAGAUAUGUGUAAGUAACUGUGCACAUCUUGACGGUACCUAAUCAGAAAGCCACGGCUAACUACGUG
rnacentral:rRNA from 1 species